ensembl:snoRNA SNORD29 Small nucleolar RNA SNORD29
UUUUAAUGAUGAAGCUAACUAGCUCACUUUGAUAUUGUAAUGAAAAUUUUUGAACAACUGAAAAAC